CCUACGGGUGGCAGCAGUGGGGAAUAUUGCACAAUGGGCGAAAGCCUGAUGCAGCAACGCCGCGUGAGCGAUGAAGGCCUUCGGGUCGUAAAGCUCUGUCCUCAAGGAAGAGAAUGACGGUACUUGAGGAGGAAGCCACGGCUAACUACGGGCCAGCAGCCGCGGUAAUACGUAGGGGGCUAGCGUUAUCCGGAAUUACUGGGCGUAAAGGGUGCGGAGGUGGUUUCUUAAGUCAGAGGUGAAAGGCUACGGCUCAACCGUAGUAAGCCUUUGAAACGGGGGAACUUGAGUGCAGGAGAGGCGAGUGGAAUUCCUAUUGUAGCGGUGCUAUGCGUAGAUAUUAGGAGGAACACCAGUUGCGAAGGCGGCUCUCUGGACUGUACCUGACACUGAGGCACGACAGCGUGUGGCGCAAACAGGAUUAGAUACCCCAGUAGUC
rnacentral:rRNA from 1 species